UUCUAAAAUCCUGUAAGACUUUGUAUUACUUCGUUUUUUUCGAUGGUAAAAAACGCAUUGAAGAAAGGGGGUGUUACGUCUGUGGCCCCCUCCUUUUUGAGAAUCGCAAGAUCACUAUUAAGUCAGGUCAGGAAGACCCAGGAAAUGAGAGAAAGACAUGCAGAAUCCACAAAGAGUUUGGAAUGUGUCCUGGCCUCCGAAAGGCGGAACCAUUGAUAACGGCUAUUGUCUCUUGGAGACGGAAUUGUGUAUUGAAUACUGUACGAUUCGUCGAAGCCCCAGGCAAUGAACCGGGGGGGGGGGGGGGGUUGAUGGAGGGAUUGCAUCAUCCCAACCUGAUUGACAUCUGAGACCCUGUGAGUCAGGAUAAAAGAGGGUCUGGGGAACAGCCCCUUCAGACGCACCAGAAGAAAUGCUAGAACUCCUGUAACAGCGUAAUAGCGAAAGCCGGUGGAAAAGCCCACAUGCGUCCUUUUCCAUUUGCCUCGGAAUCGGUGGGCCUUUACCACGGCUUUAGCUAACCACAACGGGGAAAUCAGUCCCCAACGACUCUUGAAGGAUUGACAUCAUAAAAGGAAUGGGCAAGUUAAACCUCCGUCUUUCUCUUCAACCAAAAAGCUGCAGCUUGAAUGAACUUGAGUGACUUUUAUAUUUCCAUCGGACAAUACAUUAUCCCCUAGACAACGAUAGAGCUAUUUCUUAUUGAUUAUUAUUAUACCUGCGCUAUUAGAUUUAGUAUUGAUGAUGUAUAUUAUCUGUAUGUUUGCAUUGAUAUUAUUUUUGUGUGUUUUUAUCAAUAAAUACUGUUAAAAAUAGUACCAUCAGACUUCAACGGACCUCUCUAUCUUUGCUGGUAAGUGACCCAGUUACGGGGUACGUAAAACUGAAUAAAGGUAAACUCUUCUGCUAUAUGUUGCCAGUCUCAUUGCAGUGUGUUUCACAUCCCUCUCUGGUUGCUAAUUCCAAAUGGCUCAAAAUUGUGGCAGACACAAUUAAAUGAGCUUAAUCCCUUAAAAGACAAGUGAUGCGCAUCGAUACUGUAUUGAUAGUUCUAUUUGGGUUCUUAAAUGUUAUAUUACACACUUUCACAAGUGUUUGCUAUGAUUCUGUCAGUCUAAUUCUGUAAACAAUAUUCUGGAAUCCAAGCUAUGAUUUCUUCUUUACUCAUUAGUGAAGUUUGGACAUGUCUUGGGUCAUUGAGAUAUCUUUAACUUUUUGGAUGAGACAUUAUAUUAGGAUCUAAUUUUCAGCAACUUAGCAGUUUAGUUAAUCAGUUUGGCAAUUGUAACAGGAUGAAUAGCAAGAGCCUAUAAUGAUUUAAGUCUUUAGGACUGAAGUGCAAAAUCUAUGUUCAUAACCAUCUGUCAGCACAGUUGAGUGUAUAUUAACAUAUUCAAAAGAUUUCUGUCUUCCAUUUUGUGAAGGCUUCAAGCCAUUUUAAAAACAAUGAGGUCUGCAGUGCCUGGCGUUUUGCUGAACACUCAAAGCAAAAAGGCUAUGGAUACUGAAAACCUAAAAUAAAAUCAAAGAGCUGGACAUACUGAUGAAAGGUCAUUGACCUGAAACAUUUACUUUCUCCAGAGAUGCUGUUUGACCUUGAGUGCUUGCAGCAUUUAGUGUUUUCAAUUCUUGAUCAGUUACUUUUGUUGAUCAAGAAAAGAUGAGCAAGUGAGGGUGAGUUUGGCUGUUGGGUUGUAAAGAUGCUUGAAGGUGCAAGAAUUUGAAAUUUUUGUAUGUUAAAGCUUUGAACCAGGAUAAGAAAUGCACUUUUGCUAAGACAUUUACAUUUUUUGUUUACCCAUUGUCACUAAAAUUAAUUUCUGGUGCAAAUUGACUUUGUAGGAUGUCACUUUCGGAUUCUGGUGUAUGGCAAUUUUAUUAGCAGCAUUUCAAAUCUUGGUGUACUAAUUCCUAACAGCUCAUUGAAUAGAUAACAAAUAUUUGGGAAGGAUGUGUUAAGCAUGAGCUGUUCAGUGUAGAUGCUGAAGGAAAAUGAAAAUAUCUGUUUGCCUUGGGGCUGCCCCUUUUCUGUGGUUUGCUUGAGACACAGAAUGAUAAACAUUACUACAAAUUUGAAAAAUAAUGCUUCCUUCCUGUCUGGAUAUUUACCACCUCUGUUGAAAAUGUGGAACUGAAAAUAAGGAGUCUUUCAUAAUCCAAUUUGGUUUCUGCGUUUUUAAUAAUUAUUAACAGACUCUAAUGUUAAAGCAUGAUGAGCAUUUUUUUAAUUUCAUCAGAAAAUUCUGGUAUUUGCUGUUUGAUCAACACAGAUCCAACCACCUCUUGUUUUCCAUUAUCCACUUCAACUCAAAUACUCUUUCCCACCUCAUUUCUGAAGACGAUAAAUAGAAAACCUCAAAAAUGUAACCAGUAAGUGGAACCUAAAACAUUUUCUUACUGUCAAAAUACUUUAAGAACUUAGGACCGAUGGGACUUAAGAAAUAUUGAGGAAAUAUUAUUCUUAAUUCAUAAAGUAAUGCAUGAUUUGAACCAUGAUUUUGAUUGUAUAUCAUUGCAGUUGAAUUUGACUUUUCAUGGUUGCAGGAAUAUUAGUCUUGUCUGUAGGAAGUAAAGUGAUCUGUCAGUAUGUCCCAUUUAACUUUUCUGUAGAGAAGCUGAAUGAGCCUCAUACACACCAUUUUAAGCUUUGGUCUAAUGUUAUCAGUUUCCAUUUGAUGACCUGGAGUAGUGAGAGAGAAUUUAUAGCUCACUGAGAUCUUAAAUGAAGAAAAAUAUCAAGAGCUACAUUUUCUGUGUAUUCUAGGUUAUCAAAUGUAGUUUGUGCUGUUGACUUAUUUCUCCAUGCAGUUGACUAACAGCUAGUUACAAUGGUUUCAAACAAGCUCUUGGAGGAAUUCAGUAGGUUGAGCUGCGUUAUGUGACGAAAACAAUUGUUGAUGCUUUGGGUUGAAACCCUGCAUCAAGUCUAAGGGUGGAAAAGGAAGAUUGUUAGUAUUUUUGUUUGAUGGAUAGCUGCGGCUGUCAGUUAUUUUUGUUAAUCUUGCUGGUUAAUUAUCAUUUGUAGUUUCUGCAGGGAGUUCUACAAUAGUGCUCUUUUCAAUACCCCAAUCCCACUAUUCCCAUUCUCACUCGGACUUUCCAAUAAGAUUUAAAAUAUAAGGGAAUGAAUCUUAGUGUUUCCAUUCCCUGAAAAAUUGUAGCAUUUGUCAGCUAAUGGAUUUGGAUUUGGCCGGUAGAUUGAACGUAUGUUUUCAAGUUAAAAAACAAGGAAAGUUCUAUGGGUUGUGCAGCAUCUAUGGAGAGAGAAAUAGGUUGCUGACUAUUAAAAGUUUCUCUCUCCACCAUUACUGCUUGACCUACUCAGUAUUUCUGCAUUUUUGUUCUAAUUUCAGCCUUUGCAAGCUUCUUUGCUUUUAGAAUACUUUUUCUUAAGGGGGAAUGCUCCAAGUUCUGUUUAAACAUCUAUUGAGAUAGUACUGCUUGAAAUUCUCCUUGUCCUAUCUCACAUUUUUGCCAUAUUUUAAUUUUAAUGACAUUUUUAUCUGUUACCGCAUCUAUAUUUCUUCAGACCUCCAUGGAGUCAUUUUAACGUUGUAGGUGCAAGUGUUAAUGUGGCAAAGAUGUUUUUGAUAUGAUUAUCUUUUGUUAUUUCAGAUAUUUUAUAUAUUUAUCCAAUAUUCUGGUGAAUUUAUAAUAAACCUCUCCUGAGAUAUAAUUGAUUAAAGACUAAAACUCUUAUAAAAUUUGUUUUUCCCAUUGAAUAUAAUGUUUACUCACAAGAUGCUGUAAGAUUUUUCAGAUUGUAUCCAUUCAAAGCUACAGAAUAUAUAGAUAGUAAGCUCUGCAUUGUUAGCUUUUGAGAAUAUAGCAUGGCAGACCUUUUAAGGCAUGUGUGUUAUAAAGAAGCUAUGUUAUGUUGAAUGUUAUAGAGAGAGGCUUCUUUGUUAUUUGGAGGUGUUAUUAAGUGGUGUCAUAAUUCAUCCAUUUGUUUUUCUACAGUAGCUCAUCAGAGGAGUGAUGGCAGCGAUAUAAUGGUCAGUGUCUGUAGUCUAAAAGAAGCUGAAGUCUAGCAGUCUCUGAGAUGCCCGGGAGUGGGAGAUGAAGUCUACAAUAUCAAUGGUUUUGCAGAAUUUCAGUGAUGUCCACUCAUAAGAACAUGAUGGCUAUAUUUAUUUUAAAAGUACAAGUAUUAUUGACUGAUUAAAAUUAUAGUAAUGUUUCUCUGCAACAUGAACAUGUAGUGCUUGUGUGAUCUGUAACAGAAGCAAUAUAAAUACUGAACAAUCAGAAAUUGUAUUCUUUUACAUUCUACCGACAAAAUAAUGUAACAAUCCCUAAUGAGUUUCGGUCUAUUAGUUCAGAGGUAUAAAUAACUUCAUGAUUCAGCUACUUAUUUCAGUUUGUCAACGUUGUUAAUUUAAUUUCGCUUUUUCAUCGUACCCAAGCAUUUUAAGAGUGUUGGCACCAAUCAUUUUUUUAACUAUCAGCUGGAAAUAUGAUGUAUGUACAAAACUAUCCUAGCUUUCAACAUUGUAAAGAAUGAUAGCACCAGCAUGCUUUUACUAAUUAAGUGUUCAAAAUAUAAAUUCAAAGCCCUACCAGUUUGUUAUUUCAAUAUGGAUUAUGAUUGCUGUCCCCUGUCUCCCCCACAGUACCCCAACACACACUCUGAAUUUUGAUUCUUCCUCUUCCAUUUAAAAAAUUAAAUGUAUGGACAGAGUAGAUUGGGAGAAAUUGUUCCCAGUUGUGGAGACAAGAAGAAUGAGGGUGUUUAAAAUGAAGACAAUGACUAAAGAACCAUAAAUGAUGUAGGAAAAGUAACUUACAGGCUGGUGCAUGUUAUGUUAAUGGUGGAGAAACUAUGGGAUAGAAUUUAUGUACAUUUAGAAAGGCAGGGACUGAAUGGGGGUAGUCAGCCAGGCUUCAUGUGGUGAAAGUCUUGUCUCACUAAUUUGAUAGAGAUUUUUGAGCAGGUAGCUAAGAAUAUUGAUGAAGGUAGUAUAGAAGACAUUGUUGAUAGGAACUCUAGAAAGAUGCUUGAUGUGACCCCAGUUGGUGUGCUUGUCUGGAAAGUUAAGGCACAGUGAAUCCAAGGCAAACUGGUUAAUUUGAUCUGAAAAUGGCGUGGUGACAGAAGGCAGAGGAUAGUGGCAGAAGGAUACUUUUUUGGUUGGAAAUCUGUAACCAGUGGUGCAUUGUAGGGAUCUAUGCGUCUCUUUUUGCUUGUGAUAUACAGUAUAUUAAAGACUCUGAUAUGAACGUAGGAGGAAUAAAUAACAUGCUUGUAAAUGACCCAAAAAUUGAUGGUGUUGUGGAUAGCAUGGUAGGUUGUCUAAGAUGAUACAGCAGAUGUCAUACAGAUAGAAAAUUGGACAGAUUGUUGCCAGUUGGAAUUUAUUCCUGAUUGGUGCAAGUUGAUGCAUUUUGAGAAGUCAAGUGCAGUAAAGGUGAGGGUUCUAAGGAAUGCUGAUUAGAAGAGGUAUCUUGGGGUUCCUUGAUAGUGGUGACAUGGGUAGGUAGCUGGAUGGUAAAGGCAUGCUUAUCUACGUGGGCUGGAGGAUAGAAUAUGAAAGUUGGGACUUGUGUUGCGAUUGUACAAAAUACUGGUUGGACUAUAUUUAACGAAUUCUGUUUAGUUUUGGUUACAUUCAAGGAACAUUGUUACUUGGAAUGGAAGACUUUAGUUAUGGGGAGAGAUUGCAUAGGCCAGGCCAAUUUUCCCUGGAGCGAAGAGGUGAUCCGAUUGAGGUAUAUAAAAUUAUAAGAGGCAAAGAUAGGGGAACAGUGAGAAUCUUUUAUGUAUUUAUGCACAGUCUGAGGGUAGGCUGGUCUUUAAAAUGAGGGCAAAUGUUUAAAGUAGGAGUUUUAAAUGAGAUUUGAUGGAACGAUAUAUAGAGAAUGCUCACAGCCAGAAGGGGCAAUGGAAAUAGAUGCAAGCUUAGAAGUUUAGGAUAUGGACCUAAUGUGAGCAUUACUGUGAUUAGUAUAGUAUAGAUGGACAAAACAAUAAAGCGAAGAGCCUAUUUCCAUGGUGUAUAACUCCAAGACCUUGUGAAUGAGUUAUUUGGGUUGGAGUGCACUGAUUUACAUGUUACUAAAGCAACAAAAUAGGGAGAUGUGGCGACCAAUGGCUUCCUUCCAUGCUGAAUUGAUUCUGUUAUUUAGCAUGGACGAUCAGUUGAUUCAAAGUUUUGUUUCCUCUUUUGGAAAUUAUUUGGAUGGCAUCUUUUAACUUGAAAUGAGAUUAUUGUGUUUUUUUUUUCAUUGCUCAGAAUCUCCAUAUUGAAAAUUCAGACAGUUUUGUACAGGUUUGCAGCCUAUAUUAAAGAAAAUUUGAUUGGUUAAAGUGUGCAAGGACUGGUUUGAAAGAAAUUGCCUCUGGUUCAUUUUCAUUGCUAAUUUUCACAAGACAGCCUUAUAAAGAGUGAGAAUAAUAUGCAGGUUAAAACACUGGAUGGCCAAAAAGUAAGAGUAAAAUAGAACUGUCAAAAGCAUAUGACAGAGGACAAGUUGUUAAUGCAAGGUAGAGUCAGGUUGAUAACAGAAGUUUCAGAGGCAAAGCUUAAAAAAAGAUUAGAAAGCAAAAGUAGAGUAUUAGAAUAGUAGCAAACAUAGAAGGAAAUCCAACAAUUUUCUAUAGACAUUUAAAAUUAAGAGGGUUGUAGGUAGAGAGGUGAGAUUGAUCAAAGAUCAAAAAAACUUUUGUUUAUGGAGGCAUAUUGCAUAAAUGAGGUGGUAAAUGAGUGUUUUGCAUUUCUUCAUUGAAGAAGGUGUCGCUCAUUAUAAUUGAGAUUAUGAAUAGACUAACUGCACUUGAUGGGUCUGUAUCCUUGUUUAUAGGGAAGCAUAUAAUGAAAAUAUGAGAAGAAAUUGCAGAGAUCCUGGUUGAACAAGUUAGGUCUCUAUUCAUUGGAGCGUAGAAGGUUGAGGGGGGAUUUGAUCGAGGUAUUUAAAAUUUUGAGAGGGAUAGAUAGAGUUGACGUGAAUAGGCUGUUUCCAUUGAGAGUAGGGGAGAUUCAAACGAGAGGACAUGAUUUGAGAGUUAGGGGGCAGAAGUUUAAGGGAAACACGGGGGGGGGGUAUUUCUUUACUCAGACAGUGAUAGCUGUGUGGAAUGAGCUUCUUGUAGAAGUAGUAUAGGCCAGUUCAGUUGUGUAAUUUAAGGUAAAAUUGGAUAGGUAUAUGGACAGGAAAGGAGUGGAGGGUUAUGGGCUGAGUGCGGGUAGGUGGGACUAGGUGAGAUUAAGAGUUCGGCAUGGACUAGGAGGGUGGAGAUGGCCUGUUUCCGUGCUGUGAUUGUUAUAUGGUUUAUAUGGUUAUAAUUUUCCAAAUGCUGAUAGAUUCAGGCUGCCUGAGGAUUAAAAAUUACAAACGUUACUCACCCUGUGUAAAGAUAUACCCAAUACAUAGAGACCAGUCAGAAUAAAUCAGUGGUGAGGAAAGUUGUAGAAGCAAUAACCAGAGACUGUACAAGCAGUUACUUGGACAGCUGGAUUGAUUUGAGAAAAUAAGCAUGGAUUUUUUAAAAAGGCAAAUGUGUCUAACUAAUGUGAUUGUGUUUUGACAGAGAAGGUCAAUGAUGGAAUUUGGUGAGGUAUAUAUUGACUUCUACAAGGUGCAACAUAGUGUACUUGUCAUUAAGAUUGAAGGCAAUGGAAUUUGAGGGUCUGCAGAACAUUUGUUAAGAACCAGGUAGUAGUAGUUGUGAAAGGUCAGAGUUGAAUGCAGUAUAUGGACCACAAUUUUGUGCAGAUAACACAAAAUUAGGUAUACUGAAAAAGACUUCAAGUAGAUAUGGGUAGUAUGGCAGAAAAAAUGAUAAAUAAAAUUUAAUGCUUUAAUUAAAGUUUUAUAUUUUGAUAGAAAGAAUGAACAGAAACAAUUUAAAAAAGAAAUCAUAACUCCAAAAAAGUUUUAGAUUGGAGAGAUUAUUCAUUUAAAGUGGCAGGGCAGGUUGAGAAAGUGGUUGAAAAGGCAUAGGGUAUACCAGGUGAUUUUGAAGUGACUCUAUACAUCUAAAAAAUGCCCUUCAAUUGAAUCACUAGUUCUGUAAGACAUUAUAAUUUGCAGAAUUAGUCCUAAACAUGAUCAAAAUUGCCAUGUUCAAUGAGAAAUAUGAAGUACUAUAGGCAUUUAACUUUAAUAACAGCCAUUUAAUCACAUCUGAAGAGAUGUUUUCUGUCCAGUGGAGAAAUGUAAAACUUGGCUUUCUUUGAUAAGUUGUUGGCAAUCACAAGAAAAAUGGUGAAGGGAAUUGAAAGCAAAUUCGAUAGAUGCUUGUUGAUGUCGACUAUAUUUUUGUCAGCGAUACCAGAGACAGAUGCCCGUAAAUGAAGAAACUUAACUGGAUGCUGUUCUUCUAUAUGACUUGCAUUUUUAAAUAAUUUAAUUUACUUUCUUCCUGAAAAACCACCUGUUCUCCUCCUCUUGGACAGUUUUGUUAAUUUAAAAAUAAGUGAAAUGCUUCUGAGUAUAUCCUUUCCACUGCUUCUCAACUGGUCCACUAGAAUGCUUAUAUUGAAUCUCGAAUGUACAGGUCUUUGCUUUGGUUAGUUGAUUUGGUGUUUGUUAUCUAUUACAGUGAUUAAUUGGGAGAUGUAUUUCUUCAGCUAAAUUUUAACUUGUAUGUAUGUUCCUCUGAUUUUUGGUUUAAAAAACUAUUUUAUGAUCAUUUACACUGUUUUAGAGGCAUUUCACAUUUGUUGCAUCUACACAGUUGUUUUGUGUAUAUUAAAGAUAAAUCAAUAAAGAUUAUAAUUCUCUUUAAA